rnacentral:lncRNA from 1 species
UUUGGAUCGUGACAUCGUCAAAUAAGUUGACAACAUUUCAGCAAGCUCUUUUAUCUCAUCACCAUGACCUCUAUGACCUUUCAAGGAGUCAUACACACAAAUGCAUCUUUCCUUGAGUCCUAUGACUGUCAACACCCAGUAAAACGAUCCCUUACAAUUUAUUGGCACAUACACGUCGUCAAUCAAAUGCCAUGGAACACCAACUGGAAUGCAUAGUCCUUGC